CAGCCGCCGCGGGAAUACAGAGGGUGCGAGCGUUAAUCGGAUUUACUGGGCGUAAAGCGUGCGUAGGCGGCUUUUUAAGUCGGAUGUGAAAUCCCUGAGCUUAACUUAGGAAUUGCAUUCGAUACUGGGAAGCUAGAGUAUGGGAGAGGAUGGUAGAAUUCCAGGUGUAGCGGUGAAAUGCGUAGAGAUCUGGAGGAAUACCGAUGGCGAAGGCAGCCAUCUGGCCUAAUACUGACGCUGAGGUACGAAAGCAUGGGGAGAAAAUGGGAUUAGAUACCCCAGUAGUCCCUGUCUCUUAUAC
rnacentral:rRNA from 1 species